CUUGGUCAUUUAGAGGAAGUAAAAGUCGUAACAAGGUCUCCGUUGGUGAACCAGCGGAGGGAUCAUUACCGAGUUUACAACUCCCAAACCCAAUGUGAACCAUACCAAACUGUUGCCUCGGCGGGGUCACGCCCCGGGUGCGUCGCAGCCCCGGAACCAGGCGCCCGCCGGAGGGACCAACCAAACUCUUUUCUGUAGUCCCCUCGCGGACGUUAUUUCUUACAGCUCUGAGCAAAAAUUCAAAAUGAAUCAAAACUUUCAACAACGGAUCUCUUGGUUCUGGCAUCGAUGAAGAACGCAGCGAAAUGCGAUAAGUAAUGUGAAUUGCAGAAUUCAGUGAAUCAUCGAAUCUUUGAACGCACAUUGCGCCCGCCAGUAUUCUGGCGGGCAUGCCUGUCCGAGCGUCAUUUCAACCCUCGAACCCCUCCGGGGGGUCGGCGUUGGGGAUCGGGAACCCCUAAGACGGGAUCCCGGCCCCGAAAUACAGUGGCGGUCUCGCCGCAGCCUCUCCUGCGCAGUAGUUUGCACAACUCGCACCGGGAGCGCGGCGCGUCCACGUCCGUAAAACACCCAACUUCUGAAAUGUUGACCUCGGAUCAGGUAGGAAUACCCGCUGAACUUAAGCAUAUCAAUAAGCGGAGGA
rnacentral:rRNA from 1 species